rnacentral:lncRNA from 10 species
CUUCAUGUCCCUCUUCUGCCCUUCUGUCCUAGUAAGUACAUAAAUAUGGAUAAAAAAAAUAAAGGAAGUAGGAGCUCAUUUUGGUGCCUCUUGAACACUCAUCUAUCACCUCCUGCACCAGAAGUCCUGUAGGGAUCAGGACUUGCGGAAGCAGGAACUCUUCCACACUGUUUGUGGAGGUACACAUUAGUACAGCCUUUUCGGGCGCAAUCUGGCAAAAUCUGAAAGUGUGUAAACCCUUUCAACUGGAAAAUUCAUUGCUGAAAAUUUACCAUACAGUUAUACUCAGUGUGUGCUCAAAGGUUUAAAAGAAAAUGUUGGAGUUUUGCUUGCCAGAUUUAAAAGAAAGGAAACAAAAUAAUGUCCGGACACAAGGUUUAUCUGAACACAGCAGCUCAUGCUGCUCAGAAUCAGGAUUUAGUCAACUAAACUAGUUGGCCGGACAGCUGUCCCCACCUCCCACAUCGCUCCCUGAGCAUUGAGCCCAAAGGUUGAUGAAUGGAAGAGGACAAACCCUCCAGAGGGCAGAGAACCCAUCCUCAGUCAAAAGGCUGUAAGCACUUUGGGAGGCUGAGGCAGGAGGAUUGCUUGAGCCCAGAAAGUUUGAGACCAGCCUGGGCAACAUACCAAGAUCCUGUCUCUACAAAAAAAUUAAACAUUAGCCAGGCAUGGUGGCACUCACGUGUUGUCCCAGCCACUUGGGAGACUGAGACAGGAGGAUGGCUUGAGCCCAAGAGAUUGAGGCUGCAGUGAGCUGUGAUUGCACCGCUGCACUCCAGCCUAGGCAACAGAGUGAGACGCCGUCUCAAAAAAAAAAAAAAAAAAAGGCUGUGCGUAACUGGACAGAUCUACUAAAUAUGUCACUGCAGUGCUGCUCUCAGCUCAGCCAUCAGUUGAAAGUCCCAAGCUGAGAAUGGUAUCCUGAGCUGUGGGCCACCAACUUCUCCCAGACCCUCUCAAGCGUGUUUGGGAAGCUCUCCUGGGAAUACAAAGAAGCAGACUAAAGGGAGCAUGAAGUAAGUCUCCAGACAGAGGCAGGAGUGAAUAAGCAGUUUCAGAAACUGGUGGCUUAUGAGCACUGAAAUCCGGAAGCCCAGGAGGAAGGCUUUUAAGGAAUACAUGUCUCUCAAAUGCCACCCAGGUUUCAUUUAAAGAAGUGAUUCCUUCAGAAGUACAGGCAGGGGGCUCCUGGGGUCCAGGUUGCUUGGGGCCAAUUGAAGAGAAGCCUAAGGCUGGAGGCACAAUGGAAGGAAUCAGAGGGGAGGUGGAAUUCCUGGGAGAAGGAAAGAGGUACUGGCAGCAGGGCUGGCACCGACUCAGCCGCAGGAAAUGAACAGCACAAUCUGAACCCUCCAGAUGAGGUGGGAACAGACAGAAGGACACAGGGAGAUACAAAAAUGUAUCCAUUUGAAAGCGGUUCUCUCUGGAAGCCCACUCUCCUCCCAGAAGACACGUGCACCCGUGCCCGCAGAAGCACUCCCUGCCUGCAGCGUUGAGGUCCCAUACACCAGCCAGACUCAGUGCCCACUCUCACCGGGCACCAGGCUGAGCAGGCACGGACACUUGUUUUGUCAUUUCAUGCUCCUGAUGACAUGCGGGGUGAGGACCAUUAUCGUCCCCAUUUGCUGGUUGUGACACAGGGCUCACAAUGUUUAACAAUUUGUCUGAGGUCAUGUGUCCAGGGAGUAGAGGCGUGAACCGAGAUGUGUUCAGGCAUGUCAGGUGCAUGCUCCUCCUGGAACCCUGUCUGAGAGGGCCCCGGGUGAGGGGCUGUAAAGCCCACAUGGCUCCUUCCUUCCACGGAGACAAAUGAGAAGGUUAACAAUCCAGCUACCCUCCUGCGAGGUUUGAGGGACACAACAUCAACGUACUUAGAAUGCGUGUAACGACGGCACUUCAUUAGGAUGAAAACAGCAGCGCAGAACAGCAUCACCUUUACUCUCAGAUCAGCUUCUCAUGACAGGAGCAGAAGUUCAGAAAGUUACAGGUUGAGGUAGGGAAUUCUUUUUCAACAGAAUUUCAGAAGCAGUGAGUUCUAGUCCUAAUUCUGCCCCAACCUGUUUUUGGGGUAAGAGAAGGUGAAAUUUAAGCUGGGCCUUGGAAGAUGGGGAGGAUGGGGGUAGGGCUGAUAAAAGCAAAGAUCUGAAGGUGGGUGGGCCUCUCCGUUGAGAGCGAGGGUCUCUAUUAGCAGAGGGAGACGGGCUCUGCCCACAGUGCUGUCUUCAGUGUUGCUGUUUCUCCCAAGAAUUUACCCUCUCCACCCAAGAUGUUUAGUCUGUCUCUUGUUGACAUAAUACCUGUUGUACCUACCAUGAUGCACAAUGUUUUUCCAUUACACCUCCCAUCCUCAAGCAAAUUGGAGAGCAUAGCAUAAAAAGCUGUCACCAUAGAUGCAUGGUGACCACUGUAUUAAAUGCAUUGGAUGCAGAGGAAGUUAUUCAUGUUCACCCAGGAGUCUCUCUUGAAGCCCUCCACAUCUGAGUGGAGGCUGGGGAGCAAUAGACACCCGCAGCAUGCAGGGAGAUGGGGGCUUAUAACCUUCCUGACAGUUACAGUAUGAUGUCAGACCUUGGGUGCUGCCUCACACUUUCAAACAACAUCAAACUUGGACUCUCCGAGUACACAGACCUAGAAGGAAGAAACUGCUCUCUCAUCCUAAAGAACCCUCCCAGUCUCCCAGACCUUCCUUCCCAAUUUCUUAAAGAAUGGUCUCGGUGCCAACUUAAAUAUUGCAUUUGGUUGGGAGAGGAGGAACCGCGAGCCCAGAAUGGAAGUCAAAUUAUUCCACAAAUAUUGCUUAUUUAAAUAACAUUUAAAAAAUACAUCAUGUUCAGUGGUGAAGAACUACUAAAUUAUUGAAUUCCCCAAAGCAUCCUAUAAGCUUUAAAGUGGCUCAUGAAGCCCUAUAAAAGAAUAUAAUAAAUAGACAAAAAGGAACGCCGGGCUCCAUGUCAGAAUGCCUGUGUGCGCCAACGCUAAACAUCUUCAUGUAAUCUUUCCACUUAAACCAAUGAUUAAACAGAUUAAACAGAUGAUUAAACAAAUAAAGAUUAAUGAAACAAGUAAAGUAAUCAAAUCUGUAUGGGUGUAUAAACGCAUGAUUCCAGACAAUAUUAGAACAAAUUGUCUAAAACUAAUAGCGAAUGCGUCAGUUCAGCUCCAACAGCUUUUGUUGGGCUCUCACUUGGAUGUAAUCAAAACAUUUGUUUAAACUAAGAUGGAUAUGAGGCGCUAAGAUGUCAGUUUUUUGAAAGAGAAAAAUAAAACAAAAGCAAUGUCUUUGGUGAGGAGAUUGGCACCGCCAAUAGGGCUGCAUUACUGAGGAAUCUGGGAAUGUUGCGUUAAGGGAUACCCUGAAAUUUAAUAUCUCUCUAUUUUUGAAAAUAGGCUCUGCCCAAAUUAUAAAUAUAAGCAAGCCAAAAGAAGACGGUGAUAUCUAAAGUACUUGAGAAUUUGAGAGGGAUAGAAAAACUGUUCAACCACCCCUCCACCCCCAGUGCUUUAGAAACCCCUUUUUAAUUAUUAGUCAUUGAUAUGCUAAUUACAACACAUGCUUAUCAUUUUCUUCUUUCCUUGAGAAGCAAACUAUUCCCUGUGUGCUCUUGCAAGGA